rnacentral:rRNA from 1 species
GACGAACGCUGGCGGCGUGCCUAAUACAUGCAAGUAGAACGCUGAAGAGAGGAGCUUGCUCUUCUUGGAUGAGUUGCGAACGGGUGAGUAACGCGUAGGUAACCUGCCUCGUAGCGGGGGAUAACUAUUGGAAACGAUAGCUAAUACCGCAUAACAAUGGAUGACACAUGUCAUUUAUUUGAAAGGGGCAAUUGCUCCACUACAAGAUGGACCUGCGUUGUAUUAGCUAGUAGGUGAGGUAAUGGCUCACCUAGGCGACGAUACAUAGCCGACCUGAGAGGGUGAUCGGCCACACUGGGACUGAGACACGGCCCAGACUCCUACGGGAGGCAGCAGUAGGGAAUCUUCGGCAAUGGGGGCAACCCUGACCGAGCAACGCCGCGUGAGUGAAGAAGGUUUUCGGAUCGUAAAGCUCUGUUGUAAGUCAAGAACGGGUGUGAGAGUGGAAAGUUCACACUGUGACGGUAGCUUACCAGAAAGGGACGGCUAACUACGUG